ACUUCUCCAUUAUUUGUGAACAUGUUUCGUUCUGAUUAAUAUCGGUUUCACAGUUUCAUCCAUCAAUUCAUUUUCUAUAACGCUUUCUUAUCCUUGCGGAACUGUUCUGAAAUGGAAAACCAACCACAGCAACCUAAGGUCCACCAUCUCCAUAAACCUGUGACAUUGAGAUGCACCGUCCACCUUUCAGAUCGAUUCAGUCAGGGCCGGCCAGCUACUCCCCUCUUCCUCGUUACUCGAGGUGCACGAACAAA